rnacentral:rRNA from 1 species
UACGUAGGGAGCAAGCGUUGUCCGGAAUCAUUGGGCGUAAAGCGCGCGUAGGCGGCCUCGUAAGUCCGUUGUGAAAGUCAAAGGCUCAACCUUUGAAAGCCGAUGGAUACUGUGAGGCUAGAGUCCGGAAGAGGCGAGUGGAAUUCCUGGUGUAGCGGUGGAAUGCGCAGAUAUCAGGAGGAACACCAAUAGCGAAGGCAGCUCGCUGGGGCGGUACUGACGCUAAGGCGCGAAAGCGUGGGGAGCGAACAGG